rnacentral:misc_RNA from 1 species
AUGCAAUGCCAACAUGAAUCUGGUAUGUAAAGAAACUUCAUUUUAUUUGCCUUAUCUGUUAUAUUUAUUUUCAUGCAUUAGUCACAGGGAAAAUCCACUUACAAUGUGGAAGUUCUGAAUCCAACAAACAUUAUGGCUAGUUAUUAGUAUGAAGGCAAAAGGAUAAAACCAUUAGAUGUUUUUGGUAAGAUGAUCCUUGUUUGUUUUGCAGGUGGGUUUGCUGGUAACAUUGG